CAGUCGCCGCGGUAAAACGGAGGAUCCAAGCGUUAUCCGGAUUUAUUGGGUUUAAAGGGUGCGUAGGCGGCCUAUUAAGUCAGGGGUGAAAGACGGUAGCUCAACUAUCGCAGUGCCUUUGAUACUGAUGGGCUUGAAUGUACUUGAGGUAGGCGGAAUGUGACAAGUAGCGGUGAAAUGCAUAGAUAUGUCACAGAACACCAAUUGCGAAGGCAGCUCACUAAAGUAUGAUUGACGCUGAGGCACGAAAGCGUGGGGAUCAAACAGGAUUAGAUACCCCUGUAGUCCCUGUCUCUUAUAC
rnacentral:rRNA from 1 species